AGCAGCCGCGGUAAUUCCAGCUCCAAUAGCGUAUAUUAAAGUUGUUGCAGUUAAAAAGCUCGUAGUUGAAUUUCGAGAUCAAAUUGUCGGUCGUGCCUCGGUACGUACUGGCAUUAUUGAUUUCUCCCUUCUGAAGAACCACGAUGUCAUUAAUUUGGUGUCGUGGGGAAUCAGGACUGUUACUUUGAAAAAAUUAGAGUGUUUAAAGCAGGCUCACGCUUGAAUACAUUAGCAUGGAAUAAUGAAAUAGGACGUUUGAUUCUAUUUUGUUGGUUUCUAGGAUCGACGUAAUGAUUAAUAGGGAUAGUUGGGGGGCAUUAGUAUUCAAUUGUCAGAGGUGAAAUUCUUGGAUUUAUUGAAGACUAACUACUGCGAAAGCAUUUGCCAAGGAUGUUUUC
rnacentral:rRNA from 1 species